GACGAACGCUGGCGGCGUGCUUAACACAUGCAAGUCGAACGGAAAGGCCCUGCUUUUGUGGGGUGCUCGAGUGGCGAACGGGUGAGUAACACGUGAGUAACCUGCCCUUGACUUUGGGAUAACUUCAGGAAACUGGGGCUAAUACCGGAUAGGAGCUCCUGCUGCAUGGUGGGGGUUGGAAAGUUUCGGCGGUUGGGGAUGGACUCGCGGCUUAUCAGCUUGUUGGUGGGGUAGUGGCUUACCAAGGCUUUGACGGGUAGCCGGCCUGAGAGGGUGACCGGCCACAUUGGGACUGAGAUACGGACCAGACUCCUACGGGAGGCAGCAGGGGGGAAUAUUGCCCAAUGGGCGGAAGCCUGAUGCAGCAACGCCGCGUGCGGGAUGACGGCCUUCGGGUUGAAAACCGCUUUCGCCUGUGACGAAGCGUGAGUGACGGUAAUGGGUAAAGAAGCACCGGCUAACUACGUG
rnacentral:rRNA from 1 species